AGGAUUAACGCUGGCGGCGUGCAUGAGACAUGCAAGUCGAACGGACACUCGGAGCUUGCUCUGAGUGUUAGUGGCGGACGGCUGAGUAACGCGUAGGUGACCUGCCCCGAAGUGGGGAAUAACUGCCCGAAAGGGUGGCUAAUACCGCAUGUGGUGAUGUGUUCAUUCGCAUCAGUAAAGCCGCAAGGCGCUUCGGGAGGGCCUGCGUCCGAUUAGCUCGUUGGUGAGGUAACGGCUCACCAAGGCGACGAUCGGUAGGUGGUCGUGAGAGGACGAUCCACCCAGACGUGGACUGAGACACGGCCCACGACUCCUACGGGACGGCGAGACGAGGUCGGGAAGUUUUG
rnacentral:rRNA from 1 species